rnacentral:rRNA from 1 species
GAAACGGAGAGUAAUACCUUAUGUGCCCUACGGGGGAAAGAUUUAUCGCCAAAGGAUUAGCCCGCGUUAGAUUAGGUAGUUGGUGGGGUAAUGGCCUACCAAGCCUACGAUCUAUAGCUGGUUUGAGAGGAUGAUCAGCAACACUGGGACUGGGACACGGCCCAGACUCCUACGGGAGGCAGCAGUGGGGAAUCUUGGACAAUGGGCGCAAGCCUGAUCCAGCCAUGCCGCGUGAGUGACGAAGGCCCUAGGGUCGUAAAGCCCUUUCGCCAGGGAUGAUAAUGACAGUACCUGGUAAAGAAACCCCGGCUAACUCCGUGCCAGCAGCCGCGGUAAUACGGAGGGGGUUAGCGUUGUUCGGAAUUACUGGGCGUAAAGCGCGCGUAGGCGGACUAUUAAGUCAGGGGUGAAAUCCCGGGGCUCAACCCCGGAACUGCCUUUGAUACUGGUAGUCUUGAGUUCGAGAGAGGUGAGUGGAAAUUCCNGAGUGUAGAGGUGAAAUUCGUAAAUAUUCGGAAGGAACACCAGUGGCG